UGGCGGCAUGCCUUACACAUGCAAGUCGAACGGCAGCACGGGUGCUUGCACCUGGUGGCGAGUGGCGAACGGGGUGAGUAAUACAUCGGAACAUGUCCUGUAGUGGGGGAUAGCCCGGCGAAAGCCGGAUUAAUACCGCAUACGAUCCACGGAUGAAAGCGGGGGACCUUCGGGCCUCGCGCUAUAGGGUUGGCCGAUGGCUGAUUAGCUAGUUGGUGGGGUAAAGGCCUACCAAGGCGACGAUCAGUAGCUGGUCUGAGAGGACGACCAGCCACACUGGGACUGAGACACGGCCCAGACUCCUACGGGAGGCAGCAGUGGGGAAUUUUGGACAAUGGGCGAAAGCCUGAUCCAGCAAUGCCGCGUGUGUGAAGAAGGCCUUCGGGUUGUAAAGCACUUUUGUCCGGAAAGAAAUCCCUGGCUCUAAUACAGUCGGGGGAUGACGGUACCGGAAGAAUAAGCACCGGCUAACUACGUGCCAGCAGCCGCGGUAAUACGUAGGGUGCGAGCGUUAAUCGGAAUUACUGGGCGUAAAGCGUGCGCAGGCGGUCUGUUAAGACAGAUGUGAAAUCCCCGGGCUCAACCUGGGAACUGCAUUUGUGACUGGCAGGCUAGAGUAUGGCAGAGGGGGGUAGAAUUCCACGUGUAGCAGUGAAAUGCGUAGAGAUGUGGAGGAAUACCGAUGGCGAAGGCAGCCCCCUGGGCCAAUACUGACGCUCAUGCACGAAAGCGUGGGGAGCAAACAGGAUUAGAUACCCUGGUAGUCCACGCCCUAAACGAUGUCAACUAGUUGUUGGGGAUUCAUUUCCUUAGUAACGUAGCUAACGCGUGAAGUUGACCGCCUGGGGAGUACGGUCGCAAGAUUAAAACUCAAAGGAAUUGACGGGGACCCGCACAAGCGGUGGAUGAUGUGGAUUAAUUCGAUGCAACGCGAAAAACCUUACCUACCCUUGACAUGGUCGGAAUCCUGAAGAGAUUCGGGAGUGCUCGAAAGAGAACCGGCGCACAGGUGCUGCAUGGCUGUCGUCAGCUCGUGUCGUGAGAUGUUGGGUUAAGUCCCGCAACGAGCGCAACCCUUGUCCUUAGUUGCUACGCAAGAGCACUCUAAGGAGACUGCCGGUGACAAACCGGAGGAAGGUGGGGAUGACGUCAAGUCCUCAUGGCCCUUAUGGGUAGGGCUUCACACGUCAUACAAUGGUCGGAACAGAGGGUUGCCAACCCGCGAGGGGGAGCUAAUCCCAGAAAACCGAUCGUAGUCCGGAUUGCACUCUGCAACUCGAGUGCAUGAAGCUGGAAUCGCUAGUAAUCGCGGAUCAGCAUGCCGCGGCGAAUACGUUCCCGGGUUUUGUACACGCCUCCGGACGUACCACAAGGUAACCAGUAGAGAAGAUCAUGCUCAGGAAGUCGUAACAAGGUAACCAGUAGA
rnacentral:rRNA from 1 species